rnacentral:rRNA from 1 species
UAGGGAAUCUUCCACAAUGGACGAAAGUCUGAUGGAGCAACGCCGCGUGAGUGAAGAAGGGUUUCGGCUCGUAAAACUCUGUUGUUGAAGAAGAACAUAUCUGAGAGUAACUGUUCAGGUAUUGACGGUAUUUAACCAGAAAGCCACGGCUAACUACGUGCUAG